GAGUAACACGUAGGUAACCUACCUAUAAGACUGGGAUAACUUCGGGAAACCGGAGCUAAUACCGGAUAAUAUUUCGAACCGCAUGGUUCGAUAGUGAAAGAUGGCUUUGCUAUCACUUAUAGAUGGACCUGCGCCGUAUUAGCUAGUUGGUAAGGUAACGGCUUACCAAGGCAACGAUACGUAGCCGACCUGAGAGGGUGAUCGGCCACACUGGAACUGAGACACGGUCCAGACUCCUACGGGAGGCAGCAGUAGGGAAUCUUCCGCAAUGGGCGAAAGCCUGACGGAGCAACGCCGCGUGAGUGAUGAAGGUCUUCGGAUCGUAAAACUCUGUUAUUAGGGAAGAACAAACGUGUAAGUAACUGUGCACGUCUUGACGGUACCUAAUCAGAAAGCCACGGCUAACUACGUGCCAGCAGCCGCGGUAAUACGUAGGUGGCAAGCGUUAUCCGGAAUUAUUGGGCGUAAAGCGCGCGUAGGCGGUUUUUUAAGUCUGAUGUGAAAGCCCACGGCUCAACCGUGGAGGGUCAUUGGAAACUGGAAAACUUGAGUGCAGAAGAGGAAAGUGGAAUUCCAUGUGUAGCGGUGAAAUGCGCAGAGAUAUGGAGGAACACCAGUGGCGAA
rnacentral:rRNA from 1 species